AUUGAACGCUGGCGGAAUGCUUUACACAUGCAAGUCGAACGGUAGAGGGGGCAACCCCUCGAGAGUGGCGAACGGGUGAGUAAUAUAUCGGAACGUGCCCAGUCGUGGGGGAUAACGUAGCGAAAGUUACGCUAAUACCGCAUACGAUCUAAGGAUGAAAGCGGGGGAUCGCAAGACCUCGCGCGAUUGGAGCGGCCGAUAUCAGAUUAGGUAGUUGGUGGGGUAAAGGCUCAUCAAGCCAACGAUCUGUAGCUGGUAUGAGAGGACGACCAGCCACACUGGAACGGAGACACGGUCCAGACUCCUACGGGAGGCAGCAGUGGGGAAUUUUGGACAAUGGACGCAAGUCUGAUCCAGCCAUUCCGCGUGCAGGAUGAAGGCCCUCGGGUUGUAAACUGCUUUUGUACGGAACGAAAAGGUCUCUCUUAAUACGGGGGGCUCAUGACGGUACCGUAAGAAUAAGCACCGGCUAACUACGUGCCAGCCGCCGCCGUAA
rnacentral:rRNA from 1 species